UCGAGAAUCUUCGGCAAUGGGCGCAAGCCUGACCGAGCGACGCCGCGUGUGGGAUGAAGGCCCUUGGGUUGUAAACCACUGUCAGAGGGGAUGAAGUGCCAGAGGGCAAUCUCUCUGGUUUGACAUAGCCUCAGAGGAAGCACGGGCUAAGUUCGUGCCAGCAGCCGCGGUAAUACGAACUGUGCGAACGUUAUUCGGAAUCACUGGGCUUACAGGGUGCGUAGGCGGCUUGUUAAGUAGGGUGUGAAAGCCCCCGGCUCAACCGGGGAAUUGCGCCCUAAACUGGCGAGCUGGAGUGAGAUAGGGGUGUGUGGAACUUCCGGUGGAGCGGUGAAAUGUGUUGAUAUCGGAAGGAACGCCGGUGGCGAAAGCGACACACUGGAUCUUGUCUGACGCUGAGGCACGAAAGCCAGGGGAGCGAACG
rnacentral:rRNA from 1 species